ensembl:lncRNA
GACAGGAGUUAGGGAGGCUGCAUUCCCUCUCUUUGCAGCAAUUGCCAGGUCGGGCUCCGUGGAGGAGGACCCCGCCGCCCUCCCUCCUGGCUGCCCCUCCAGAAGAAAAAGCGAUUCAGUGGAGCCCCCGAGCCGGGCGGGUGUGUGUGUGUACGUGUGUGUGUGUCCGUGCGGAUCAGCCGGGGGAACCUGACAGAAUCUGAGCAGCAAGUUGGUCCUAGAGCGCCCGGUUGACGCAAGGCAGGGGCCUAUGGCUCAGCCGUCUGGGCGAGAAACCAGAGGCUCAAGCCAGAGGCGAACUGCUCCCAAGUAGCAGGGGGUCUCCUCCCUGCACCCCUCCGGCCGGCACAGAGGGAGAUCCGGUGCAGAAAGGGCUGAUCUUGCAUUUCAGGGAAGCCUGCAGUGGAGACACCCGCACACGCAGAGCGAGGGCCGGGCAAAGAGUUCCUCUUUCUUGGGAGAUAAAAGAGAUGCUGGAGCCCUGGCUGGACCUGUUCGGAGAGUAAAAGGUCAGCUCUGCCCUUGCUUCUGCUGCCCGGAGCAUCGGAUCCAGGCUUCCCUGCAGGUCGGGGCUCCCAGGCCAUGGGACAGGGAGGAGGACUCAGGCCACUGGACAGGAGAAAAUGGCAGGCUCUUAAUCCAAAAGAGGAAGCCCGAUGUAAAAUAGAGGCGGCUGUUCUCUUGCCUUGUGGUAUCCAUCAUGACUUUUCUACUUGCAGAAUCCUUUCAGAAAUGAUGUCUUGUAAGAGAUUCCUCCCUGGUUUUCCCAGAAAACCUUCUCAAAGACCUCCCAAACCCGGCACUGUAGGGAGUUAUGUUUUAUAGGCCAAUCCACUGUAUAUUUUUAUCAUCUCAUCUGAGCAAGUCAGAUUACCUGAAAUUGAGAUUUCACAAGGCAAGGCAGAGGCCCAUAUUGGUUUCUUAUUGCAUGAACAGACAUAUACACAAGCGCACACAAAUAUACACCGGUAUUCUGAGAACACUUGACUCAAUGCAAGCCUCAGUUCAUUUAUGAGAAUGGCAAAUUUUAAACAUUUGGUUGCUGCAGACAUAUAAUACAUCUAUUACUUCUUAAUCCUAUUGUAUAGGGCCAACACUGCAUAAUCAUCCUGAAGUAUCUCCAAAUGCUUUCGAGACUACAUUCACAGGAAUUCCUUCCACAGUGAAAUACCUAGACUGAAAGAACAGGUAGCAUUGAAGAAGAGAAUUUACAGCACACUAUGUACCAUGCGAGAACUUCAUGAUGUGUGUGGGGAUAAUUGUGGCCAAUGAUACAGCUGACUACAUCUCAGUAGUAACUUCUGGUAGAAAAUAUUAAUGAUUAUUUUAAAAAAUAGGUUGUUUCAAAUACACAUGAUGCGACAAUCAAUAGCAGUCAUUUCUACUUUCUUUUCCUUUUUCUUUCUUUAAUGAUAAUUUUCCAGAAUGUUGAUUUAUCAUCAGAAUCCCUAAAACUUGCCUGCUUUCAAGUCAUUUCUUUUAAACAUCAGAUUUUAAUAACUGGUGCCAGGAUAUACUAAAAGAUAAUGCAUUUACUCAUCUGAGAAGAGAGUGCAGAUGUAUUUCAAUUCAUGAUGUUGAUGUAUAGACCAAACUAACAGUCAUUAAAUGGAAUA